GACGAACGCUGGCGGCGUGCUUAACACAUGCAAGUCGAGCGGAGCGGCGAACGGGCGAGUAACGCGGGAGUAAUGGCCCCCCUCUCUGGGAUAACAGUUGGAAACGGCUGCUAAUACCGGAUAGCGGGGGAUGACUGGCGACCUAUCAGCUUGUUGGUGGGGUAGUGGCCUACCAAGGCGACGACGGGUCGCCGGCCUGAGAGGGCGACCGGCCACAGUGGGCUGAGGUACGGCCCAAACUCCUACGGGAGGCAGCGGUGGGGAAUAUUGCGCAAUGAGGGAAACCCUGAUGCAGCAACGCCGCGUUCGGGAUGCCGGCCUUCGGGUUGUAAACCGCUUUCAGCCAUGACGCGGUAGUGGCAGAAGAAGCACCGGCUAACUACGUGCCAGCAGCCGCGGUAAUUC
rnacentral:rRNA from 1 species